rnacentral:rRNA from 1 species
UACAGAGGUCUCAAGCGUUGUUCGGAUUCAUUGGGCGUAAAGGGUGCGUAGGCGGCGCGGUAAGUCGGGUGUGAAAUCUCGGGGCUUAACUCCGAAACUGCAUUCGAUACUGCCGUGCUUGAGGACUGGAGAGGAGACUGGAAUUUACGGUGUAGCGGUGGAAAUGCGUAGAUAUCGUAAGGAAGACCAGUGGCGAAGGCGGGUCUCUGGACAGUUCCUGACGCUGAGGCACGAAGGCCAGGGGAGCAAGCAGG